GGGACGAACGCUGGCGGCGCGCUUCAUACAUGCAAGUCGAACGAGAAGCCCGGGCUUGCCCGGGUGGACAGUGGCGAACGGGUGAGUAACACGUGAGCAACCUGCCCCGAAGACUGGGAUAACACCGGGAAACCGGUGCUAAUACCGGAUGCCCUCACCACACCGCAUGACGUGGUGAGGAAAUGGAUUCCGCUUCGGGAUGGGCUCGCGGUCUAUCAGCUUGUUGGUGGGGUAACGGCCUACCAAGGCGACGACGGAUAGCUGGUCUGAGAGGAUGUCCAGCCACACUGGGACUGAGACACGGCCCAGACUCCUACGGGAGGCAGCAGUAGGGAAUCUUGCGCAAUGGGCGAAAGCCUGACGCAGCGACGCCGCGUGUGGGAUGAAUGUCUUCGGAUUGUAAACCACUUUCAGCAGGGACGAAAUUGACGGUACCUGCAGAAGAGCCCGGCCAACUACGUGCCAGCAGCCGC
rnacentral:rRNA from 1 species